UGGUCAGUCAGACAAGUUUUAUUUACAUUUUUUUUUUAAAAGCUAGUCAGAAAAACAAAAUGAAAAAAAAAAAAGCUUUGGCACAAAAUAAGAGAAACAAGUUAAAAAAAAAAAAAAAAAAGCAUCACAGAUUUAUCUACAGUUUACUUACAACAAUUUAUCUAAAACUUGUUUAAUUUACAGGCAUAUUCCAUCCUUAAAUUUUUUACCCAAAGCAGCUUUACAAUAGAGCAUCAAAAUUGUGUCCAUAAAAAUCAGGAAUUCAUUUUUUUUUUCCCCUUCAUAAAGGCCUUAGUAUUAUAUUUGGAGGUUUAUAAUUUACCAGAAACUAAUACUUGAACUGUCACUUCUUUAUAACAACUGAAAAGUCUGGUCAGUUUUGCACAAUUUAGUCUGAGCGUUGUGUCACGGUAAAACAAUUUUACAGUUACUUUAAAAUAAACACUCAAAAGAAGUUUGCGUUUCUAUAUACAAAUACAAAUGGCAAGAUUAAAUGUAAAUAAAAAUAUUUUUUUUUUUUGUUAUUUACAACUUUUAUCCACUGACUACAGUUGGUAAUCCUAUACGUUCCAUCCAAAGAGAAGAUAAUUACAUCCAAGCCAUAUUCAUGUGUUAAUCUAGUCAUGCAUAUUAUAAAAUUAAUUGGUCAUUGGUUUUCCUGGCUCAUACAGGCAACCUGCUCCAUGCUAUAAUGGCACCAAGUGAAGAAGGAGCACUUGUACAAAUUUAUCCUAGCAUAUGAGAAGAGAAAUGUGCAUUAAUGUUCUUCAAUGUAUUCUCCUUCAACCGAACAAGACUUUGAUGAACAGCAUUUGAUUUGGAAUACUGAAAUCUUACUCAAUUUUGACAAUUUGCAAAACUUAAGAUACAUUUUUAGGCUUAUCAAAACAAACAUAGUCAAAGCCAUAGCUAAAAAUCAGAAAACACAAUUGCUUUUUUUAAAAAAAUAUCAAACGUAACCCUCUUUAAAAUAUAUUUCACAUUUUUGAAUGCAAUAUUUGUAAAACAAAAAAAAAAAAAAAAAAAAU